rnacentral:rRNA from 1 species
CAGCUAAGGUCCCAAAAUAUAUGUUAAGUGGAAAAGGAUGUGGCGUUGCCCAGACAACUAGGAUGUUGGCUUAGAAGCAGCCAUCAUUUAAAGAGUGCGUAAUAGCUCACUAGUCGAGUGACACUGCGCCGAAAAUGUACCGGGGCUAAACAUAUUACCGAAGCUGUGGAUUGUCCUUUGGACAAUGGUAGGAGAGCGUUCUAAGGGCGUUGAAGCAUGAUCGUAAGGACAUGUGGAGCGCUUAGAAGUGAGAAUGCCGGUGUGAGUAGCGAAAGACGGGUGAGAAUCCCGUCCACCGAUUGACUAAGGUUUCCAGAGGAAGGCUCGUCCGCUCUGGGUUAGUCGGGUCCUAAGCUGAGGCCGACAGGCGUAGGCGAUGGAUAACAGGUUGAUAUUCCUGUACCACCUAUAAUCGUUUUAAUCGAUGGGGGGACGCAGUAGGAUAGGCGAAGCGUGCGAUUGGA